GACAGAUAUUUUUUAUGGAUUUACGUAAGAAACGAAGAAUCGCUGUCUUUCAUCGCUUUGUUUCAAGUAAACUUUAAAGAAAACAAUCGUUAAACUUUAAGGUGUGGUUCACACAAUUUCUUUGUUACGUUGUCGCCCACGGACGGAGAUGGUAUUGACUGUCGGUUAUUAAUACAUUUUUAUUGGUUGAUUUACGACAAAGAUUUCGAUAUGGCUGUUUGAGAAAAACAUAUCCUUUCAUGAUAUACGUCCAUAGAUGGCAUCAAAAGGAUACUUAGCCUUGUGUUUCCUGUGCUUAUGCUUUUUAUAGUCUGUACACACGGAAGCCGACGUGAUUAAAAGUAGUGACAAAAAGCCAAUUUUUUUAGAACGGAUUACAAACAAUUCUAUGUUGGUGAGAUAUCGUAAUCGAACUAUUCGUAUCGUUCAACAGGAAAAAUUGAACAGUUGCAUGAUUUUACAGACGUUUGUACCACAAGAAUGAUAGGAAUUCGUGUAUUGUAUUUUAGGUAAACACGCUUCGAUCUUCAUGUAAACUUUGAUGACUUGAUCACAUUUUAUAUAUGUACUGUUUUAUGACAUUAUGCACUACUCUUGUAAAA